CAAGGGCUCAUCACCCAUGGGUAGGUAAAGAAGAGGCAUGGAGGUGAAUGCAGGCAGCAGCUUUCAGGGAAGAAGAAGCAUCAGGCUGCAGACCUUGCCUCCUCCCUGCCCUGAUGGCAGGACUGAGGCCUCCCAGGGAUGAAGAAACUGAGGCUGAGGCAGUUCAACAACUUGCCCAAGGCCACGCAGCAGAGCUUUAUCUCUGCGGACCUGGAGCUGCUGGUCACCAUGGAAACAGAAGCUUUUGUUCACCACUUCCUCUUCUCUUUUUCUCGCUCCCCACCCCUCGUCUUUCCUUCCUCUCCUCACACCCACUUGCCCUCCUCUCUACUUUCUUUCCUCUAUUUUUAUUCCUAAUUUUCUAUCUCACUUGCCCUGAUUUCCUCAUCUAUUUAUUUAAAAC
rnacentral:lncRNA from 1 species